rnacentral:sRNA from 1 species
UUGAUUGUCCAGAACCAGAAGAAAAAUGUCAUGAAAGCCCCGGCGAAAAGUGCAAGUACCCAUAAAAUGGAUUUAACAGUAAACUGACUGCACCUUUCUUUCGGAAUGUGUCGUUGUUUCAUCAAGUGAUUUAUUGUAAACCUUCCCAGUCCCCCAAUAUAUAUAGGGAUGAUCGAAUUGAUCGAGCACCCAGACUUGUGGUCACAAACCCGGAAGAUGAAAUUUACACAGAAAAGGCGUCUGGACAAGUUGUGUUUAUUUAACGGGUACAGACGAUUCCGAUAUCCCGAAACUAAUCUACUUGGAGAAAGUUUUACAGUUGAACUCGUGUAUCACAAAAUCUUGACGUUAGAAAUUUCUCUUAAACUGUUUUGGCAAAUUUAGACAUUUGUAAAACAAAUCAUAUUGCUGUGAUAUUUGUUCGAAACAAUUUUGCAAACAACCCACUGUAAAAUGACAAAGGUAAACUUGGAAAUUACUUCUUUUUGAGAAUUGAUUUUUAUCAACUCUUCUAUGCAGUUACUCUGGCAAAACGGAAUAAAAAUUUAGUACUUGAAAAUGAUCGAUAAAUUCGAUGUUAUGUUUUCAGGUGCAUUGUUUUUCAGGGCAACUUAUUUAUGAAUACAUUAAAAUUGUCAGAUUUUAAAUGGUACGAACAAUUUAAAUAGAUAUUUUUGUAUUCGUAUGUAAUCCUACGCCAGAAUUUAGUAAGACUGGUUCAUUGUCAUUGAUUACCAAAGCGCCAUUUCUACAGCGGUAGCGUUUGGAAUAAAGGGCAGACUAUCCAACUUAAGGUAGAAUCAGUACUGGCG